rnacentral:rRNA from 1 species
UAAUACGUAGGUGGCAAGCGUUGUCCGGAAUUAUUGGGCGUAAAGCGCGCGCAGGCGGCUUCUUAAGUCUGAUGUGAAAGCCCACGGCUCAACCGUGGAGGGUCAUUGGAAACUGGGAGGCUUGAGUGCAGAAGAGAAGAGCGGAAUUCCACGUGUAGCGGUGAAAUGCGUAGAGAUGUGGAGGAACACCAGUGGCGAAGGCGGCUCUUUGGUCUGUAACUGACGCUGAGGCGCGAAAGCGUGGGGAGCGAACAGGAUUAGAUACCCUGGUAGUCCACGCCGUAAACGAUGAGUGCUAAGUGUUAGGGGGUUUCCGCCCCUUAGUGCUGCAGCAAACGCAUUAAGCACUCCGCCUGGGGAGUACGGCCGCAAGGCUGAA